CUUUUAGAUGACGAAGUGGUUGAUGCCAUGCUUCCAGGAAAAGCUUCUAAGCUUCAGGUAACUAGGAACCGUACCCCAAACCGACACAGGUGGUUGGGUAGAGAAUACCAAGGCGCUUGAGAGAACUCGGGCGAAGGAACUAGGCAAAAUGGCACCGUAACUUCGGGAGAAGGUGCGCCGGUGAGGGUGAAGUAUUUACUACGUAAGCCCAUGCCGGUCGAAGAUACCAGGCCGCUGCGACUGUUUAUUAAAAACACAGCACUCUGCAAACACGAAAGUGGACGUAUAGGGUGUGACGCCUGCCCGGUGCCGGAAGGUUAAUUGAUGGGGUUAGCUAACGCGAAGCUCUUGAUCGAAGCCCCGGUAAACGGCGGCCGUAACAAUAACGGUCCUAAGGUAGCGAAAUUCCUUGUCGGGUAAGUUCCGACCUGCACGAAUGGCGUAACGAUGGCGGCGCUGUCUCCACCCGAGACUCAGUGAAAUUGAAAUCGCUGUGAAGAUGCAGUGUAUCCGCGGCUAGACGGAAAGACCCCGUGAACCUUUACUAUAGCUUUGCACUGGACUUUGAAUUUGCUUGUGUAGGAUAGGUGGGAGGCUUUGAAGCGUGAACGCUAGUUUGCGUGGAGCCAAUCUUGAAAUACCACCCUGGCAACUUUGAGGUUCUAACUCUGGUCCGUUAUCCGGAUCGAGGACAGUGUAUGGUGGGUAAUUUGACUGGGGCGGUCUCCUCCUAAAGAGUAACGGAGGAGUACGAAGGUGCGCUCAGACCGGUCGGAAAUCGGUCGUAGAGUAUAAAGGCAAAAGCGCGCUUGACUGCGAGACAGACACGUCGAGCAGGUACGAAAGUAGGUCUUAGUGAUCCGGUGGUUCUGUAUGGAAGGGCCAUCGCUCAACGGAUAAAAGGUACUCCGGGAUAACAGGCUGAUACCGCCCAAGAGUUCAUAUCGACGGCGGUGUUUGGCACCUCGAUGUCGGCUCAUCACAUCCUGGGGCUGAAGCCGGUCCCAAGGGUAUGGCUGUUCGCCAUUUAAAGUGGUACGCGAGCUGGGUUUAGAACGUCGUGAGACAGUUCGGUCCCUAUCUGCCGUGGACGUUUGAGAUUUGAGAGGGGCUGCUCCUAGUACGAGAGGACCGGAGUGGACGAACCUCUGGUGUUCCGGUUGUCACGCCAGUGGCAUUGCCGGGUAGCUAUGUUCGGAAAAGAUAACCGCUGAAAGCAUCUAAGCGGGAAACUUGCCUCAAGAUGAGAUCUCACUGGGACCUUGAGUCCCCUGAAGGGCCGUCGAAGACUACGACGUUGAUAGGUUGGGUGUGUAAGCGCUGUGAGGCGUUGAGCUAACCAAUACUAAUUGCCCGUGAGGCUUGAGC
rnacentral:rRNA from 1 species